UACGUAGGGGGCAAGCGUUAUCCGGAAUUACUGGGUGUAAAGGGAGCGUAGACGGUAAUGUAAGUCUGGAGUGAAAGGCGGGGGCCCAACCCCCGGACUGCUCUGGAAACUAUGUUACUAGAGUGCAGGAGAGGUAAGCGGAAUUCCUAGUGUAGCGGUGUGAUGCGUAGAUAUUAGGAGGAACACCAGUGGCGAAGGCGGCUUACUGGACUGUAACUGACGUUGAGGCUCGAAAGCGUGGGGAGCAAACAGG
rnacentral:rRNA from 1 species